GUGGGGAAUAUUGGGCAAUGGGCGAAAGCCUGACCCAGCAACGCCGCGUGAAGGAAGAAGGUUUUCGGAUCGUAAACUUCUAUCCUUGGUGAAGAUAAUGACGGUAGCCAAGAAGGAAGUCCCGGCUAACUACGUGCCAGCAGCCGCGGUAAUACGUAGGGGGCAAGCGUUGUCCGGAAUGAUUGGGCGUAAAGGGCGCGUAGGUGGCCCGGUAAGUCUGAAGUGAAAGUCCUGUUUUUAAGGUGGGAAUUGCUUUGGAUACUGUCGGGCUUGAGUGCAGGAGAGGUAAGCGAAAUUCCCGGUGUAGCGGUGAAAUGCGUAGAGAUCGGGAGGAACACCAGUGGCGAAGGCGGCUUACUGGACUGUAACUGACGCUGAGGCGCGAAAGUGUGGGGAGCAAACAGGAUUAGAAACCCGAGUAGUCC
rnacentral:rRNA from 1 species